CCACAUGCUCCCAGUGUUCCCAGUGUUCCCAGUGUCCUCAUGUUCCCAGGUCUUCCAGUGCUCAGAGUAUAAACUGGGGGAAAGAUUGAGGAAGAGAGGGGUGUCUGGAGUUACGGUGUUUGUCUUCCCAGAUAACUGUAACAUGGCCCUACUCUCCUGGAGCAGCUGAACACCUGCUCGCCCAUGCAAAGUGUUCCGGGGGCCCGACCAGGGCGAGGCGCCUUCACCAUGUUGGGAGGGGUUUGCGAGGGGAGACCUACCUGAGGGAGACUGUCAGCCUUCAUCACCACAACUGCCAGAAGGCAGAAGAAGACCCCUAGCAACAGACGACAUGCGCAGAGUACCAGCCUAAAGACACGUCACCAGACGUAUAAAAGGAGAAGCGGGAGCUGGUUCGCGCGCGGCAGUUGGCGGAGCCCUACGGAACAGAGGCUCCCCCGUCGCCCAGCGCUGUUUUUGCCUAUACCUUGCUUGCUGUAAUUAAUAAAUUUUCAAUUGACCAAA